CCAAUAGCGUAUAUUAAAGUUGUUGCAGUUAAAAAGCUCGUAGUUGAAUUUCGGGACCAAUACGUCGGUCGUGCUUCGGUACGUACUUGCAUUAUUGGUUUCUCCCUUCUGAAGAACCAUGAUGUCAUUCAUUUGGCGUCUUGGGGAAUCAGGACUGUUACUUUGAAAAAAUUAGAGUGUUUAAAGCAGGCUCACGCUUGAAUACAUUAGCAUGGAAUAAUGAAAUAGGACGUUUGAUUCUAUUUUGUUGGUUUCUAGGAUCGACGUAAUGAUUAAUAGGGAUAGUUGGGGGCAUUAGUAUUCAAUUGUCAGAGGUGAAAUUCUUGGAUUUAUUGAAGACUAACUACUGCGAAAGCAUUUGCCAAGGAUGUUUUCAUUAAUCAAGAACGAAAGUUAGGGGAUCGAAGACGAUCAGAUACCGUCGUAGUCUUAACCAUAAACUAUGCCGACUAGGGAUCGGAUGAUGUUAAUUUUUUAAUGACUCAUUCGGCGCCUUACG
rnacentral:rRNA from 1 species